UACGUAGGGACCGAGCGUUGUCCGGAAUCAUUGGGCGUAAAGAGCGUGUAGGCGGCCCUUUAAGUCCUGCGUGAAAUCCUGCGGCUCAACCGCAGACGGUCGUGGGAAACUGGAGGGCUAGAGUGCGGGAGAGGAGAGUGGAAUUCCUGGUGUAGCGGUGAAAUGCGCAGAUAUCAGGAAGAACACCCGUGGCGAAAGCGGCUCUCUGGGACGGUACUGACGCUGAGACGCGAAAGCGUGGGGAGCGAACAGG
rnacentral:rRNA from 1 species